rnacentral:rRNA from 1 species
GACGAACGCUGGCGGCGGGCUUAACACAUGCAAGUCGAACGGAAAGGCCCCGUCGUGGGUGCUCGGUUGGUGAACGGGUGGGUAACACGCUAUUAACCGGCCCUUCACUGCGGGAUAAGUUCUGAUAACUGGGGCGAAUACCGGAGAGGAAUCUUUGCUGCAUGGGGGUGGUCGGAGAUCUUAUGGGGAGUUGGAUGGAUACGCGGCUUAUCAGCCUGUGGGUGGUGGAGGGGCUUAGCAAGUCUUUGACGGGUAGCCGGCCCGAGAGGGAGACCGGCCACAGUGGGAUUGGGACACGGACCCGACUCCUACGGGAGGGAGAAGCAGCGAAUAUUGAUAAAUGGGCGGGAGCGUGAUGCAGCACCGGCGCGGGCGGGAGGGCGGUCUUCGGGUUGUAAUCCGAUUUCAGCAGGGGCGAAGAUUGUAGUGACGGUACCUGCAGAAGAAGCACCGGCUAACUACGUG